UACGUAGGGGGCGAGCGUUGUCCGGAUUUAUUGGGCGUAAAGAGCUCGUAGGCGGUUUGGUAAGUCGGGUGUGAAAUCUCCACGCUCAACGUGGAGGGGCCACUCGAUACUGCCAUGACUCGAGUCCGGUAGAGGAGUGUGGAAUUCCCGGUGUAGCGGUGAAAUGCGCAGAUAUCGGGAGGAACACCCGUAGCGAAGGCGGCACUCUGGGCCGGAACUGACGCUGAGGAGCGAAAGCGUGGGGAGCAAACGGG
rnacentral:rRNA from 1 species